rnacentral:lncRNA from 1 species
UUUAAAGUUUAGCAAAUUUAUUUCUAAACAUCAGUAACAAAAAAUUAGAUAAAUGCAAUUUCGCAAGGAUGCCUUUUGCCACAUAUUAAAAUUAUUUUAAAUAAAUACAUUUAACAAAAGAUAUAUAAGGACUUCAGAAAAAUUAUACAAACUUUGCAGAAUUAAAGUAGGCAUAAAUAAGCAGAGAGAUAUGCACUGCUUUUGGACUUGAAAACUCAGUAACACAAAGAUGUCAGUUCUCCCCAACUUGACCUACACAUUUAAUGCAAUGCUGAUCAAAAUGCUAUUGUGUGUGUGCAUGAGUAUGUGUGUAAACAGACUGUAAAAAAUCUGACUCUAAAAUUCACACAGAUAAGUCAAGAUGUUAUCUGAAGAAGACCUUAGCUUGUGACAGCAUUAUGCCAGUUACUAAGAACGAUCCUCAUGGUACAGUAAUUAAGACAUCAUGGUUAUCAGCACAAAAGUAGACAGACAGGGUGGAGCAGAAUGAGAAGUCCAGAAACAAACUCACACAGGUGAACGCAUGGAAUCUGAACAAAGUGCACCCUGGAUCAGUGGGGAAAGAUGAACUUUCAGUAAAUGGUGUUAGGGCAGCUAGUUAUGUCAACCAGAAAACCACCUCACACCAUACAGCCACACCAACCCCAAGUAGAUUAAAAAUCUACAGAAGAAAGGUCCAGGCCAGGCGCCGUGGCUCACACCUAGAAUCCCAGCUCUCUGGGAGGCUAAGGCAGGCAGAUUGCUUGUGCCCAGGAGUUCAAGACCAACCUAGACAACAUGGCGAACCCCCGUCUCUACAAAAACUACAAAAAUUAGCCAGGCAUGGUGGUGCAAUGCCUGUGGUCCCAGCUACUUGGGUGGCUGAGGUGGGAGAAUUGGUUGAGCCCAGGAAUUUAAGGCUGCAGUGAGCCAUAAUCGCGCCACUGCACUCCAACCUGGGUGACAGAGCGAUACCCUCUCAUUCAUUCAUUCAUUAAUAGAAAGGUAUAACUACAGAAGUCUUAGAAGUUAGUAUCAUGAGGUCAGGGCGGGGAAGGAAUUUUUAAGCAAGGCACAAAAAGCACAAACCUUUAGAAAAAUAAAUAAAAGUUCACUGCAUUGGAAUUAAAAACUCCUGUCCCAAAAGACACCAUUAAAGAAAGUGAAAGACAAGCCUCACACUGACCGAAAAUACAGGCAAUACAUAGAAUUGACAAGGAUACACAGAUAAUGCCUACAAAAUCAGCGAGAAGGACAAGGGACUUGGAAAGGCCUGUGACAGGAAAGGAACAGGUGUGGCCAAUACACAGAGGGGGCUCAACCCAUUCCCAGUCGGGACAUUAAAUCCAAGAAACGCCUCUGCUGACCCGUCCACCUGGUGCCCGGGCCGCAGGCCAUGUGCCCAUAGGCCAUGUGCCCACAGGGUGUGUGCCCGCAGGCUGUGUGCCCGCAGGAGGAAUGCAAACCCUCACCUCUUGGAAUCCCCUCGCAGUGGGACAGCCCACCCAGGCUCAGCCAGCCCUCCAUUCUCUGCAGCAGAACGCUUAUUGGAGACUGCAGGGAAAAAAGCGUCAUUUUCCUCCGCUAAGGACAGUUUCUGAACAGUACCCCUGCCCUGCCCCACAGUGGAAGACUGCAGACCCAGUACCCUAUGGGCCCCCACCCGGGGGUCCUUCCUGGGCUGGUUGGGUUUGGCCUCAAGUACAUUGCGACGCUGUGAGGAGGGCCAGUUGCAACACUGUCAGUGACUGCUUGAAAACAGAAUGAACUGUCUGUCCACCCGGGGUGAUGUGAGCAGCACUUCUCACAACGGACAUGAGGUGGAAGCAGCCCAGGCAUCAGAUGAAUGGAUAAACAAAAUGACACACAAUCUCAUCUCAAAACGGGCAAAUGACUCAAAUAAACACUUCUCCACAGAAAACACACAACCAACCAAAAAGUACAUGAGAAGGUGCUCAACAUAAUAACUAGAGAAAUGCAAAUCAAACCACAAUGAGAAAUUACCUUGUACCAGGCCGGGCACAGUGGCUCACGCCUGUAAUACCAACACUUUGGGAGGCUGAGGCAGGUGAGCUUGAGCUCAGAAGUUUGAGACUAGCCUGGACACAUGGUGAAACCCCAUCUCUACUAAAAUACAAAAAUUAGCCAGGCAUGGUGGUGCACGCCUGUAAUCCCAGAUAGUCGGGAGGCUGAGGCAGGAACCUGGGAGGCAGAGGUUGCACUCAAGCCUGGGCGAUAGUGUGAGACCCAGGCUCAAAACAGUAAUAAAAAAUAAAAAUAAAAUUAAAAAAUAAAUAAAUAAAAUAAAAUAAAAAAUAAAAA